UCAUUUAGUUCCAAUCCUUUGUAAUUAGCCAGACAACCGUGUGUUACUUUGAGUCGUUAUGCCGUGAAAUUCUCAAUAAAAUAUUUUAUACCACUUAUCUGCACUAUUUUUCAGAAAGCUGGCAUAUUGGAAUCAAAAGUAGAACUACAAAACCGUUGAAGGCCUAGCUGUUGAACUCCGGUGGAGAAACGAAGACCGAAGCAUCCAGGUGGAGGAGCCAGACCAGGUGUACCUGCUAAUGAAGGAGGAAUACCGUAUCUCACACAACGUAUGUCUGGCCUGGUUCCUGGGCAAGCUCAAUCGGUCCUAAAGUCUGAACUGAGGACCUGAGCCCUAGGACCAUGCCUCAGGACUACCUGGCAUGAUGACUCCUUGCUGUCCCCAGUCCACCUGGCCGUGCUGCUGCUCCAGUUUCAACCGUUCUGCCGGCAGCUAUGGAACGCUGACCUGUUCACCGGACGUGCUACCUGUCCGAGACUUGCUGUUUUCAACUCUCUAGAGACAGCAGGAGCGGUAGAGAUACUCUUAAUGAUCGGCUAUGAAAAGCCAACUGACAUUUACUCCUGAGGUGCUGACUUGCUGCACCCUCGACAACUACUGUGAUUAUUAUUAUUAUUUUACCAUGCUGGUCAUUUAUGAACAUUUGAGCAUCUUGGCCAUGUUCUGUUAUAAUCUCCACCUGGCACAGCCAGAAGAGGACUGGCCCACCCCUCAUAGCCUGGUUCCUCUCUCGGUUUCUUCCUUUCUAGGAAGUUUUUCCUAGCCACCGUGCUUCUACACCUGCAUUGCUUGCUGUUUGGGGUUUUAGGCUGGGUUUCUGUACAGCACUUUGAGAUAUCAGCUGAUAUAUGAAGGGCUAUAUAAAUACAUUUGAUUUGAUGUUGAUUCUUCUGUAGCCCAAGUGGCCAUCGCAGGCACAUAAUAAAGCCAUGAAUAGCUGUAGCAUUAUUCUCACCAUUUCAAUCACCAUGUUAUAAUCAGAAAGCAACCAAAAAAAGGUUCCUUUUGUAAUAGAAGGAUUUGUAUGGGAAGCGAAGUUGAAGCCUGCAUUAGAUAUAUUGUCGUUCUCAUCAUAACCACAUGUGGUUUUACCGCAACAGAGGUGCGGUGGGAAACAAACAGAAGUGGCCACAUCUCACACAAAAAUGGAUAAAUAAUGAAAUCACAGAGCAGGAGAACUUAUAAAUUGUCUACAAUAAUUACAACGACUUCUCAAACACCAAAUUGAGUAAAUCUUCAUUGUAAGCCUAUUCCAGUACUUGAAUUUCUGAGCUCAGUAUUCAAUUUCAAGAAGCCUACUUCAAGCCCCUUGUAAUUGUUCGAAAUUGCAGGUAUAACCAGGGGUGAAAGUAAGGUGGUAUGGUCCAUUACAUCGUCCCUGCAAAAUAAAUAGUGGGGGUACGUCGUACCAGUAAAACAUGAGUCUAUCACAAUAAUGAAAACAAAAUGUCAAAGCUAUAGGCUAUUACACCACUAUGUAUCAUUACCGCAUGUCAGAGGAAUGAUGAAUUUGCGAAUGGACUUGAAAACAGGUGGUAUAACCUACACACCAAAAUGUGGUGGUUCGACGAGAACACUGACUUUUUGUCAAGGCAGAGAUGAGUGGUCGACAAUGAGAUGCGCGCGGACAGCAGUGGAGGCAUAAAUUCUGUGAAAGAUGUAGCUUUCUAUUCACCACUGGAUGUAGGAAAUAUGUUGCAGGUGGAUGAACUUGCACGGGUAGCCUAGUAAAGGAGGCAUUUGAAGUGAUUGUUUGACAAUCAGAUGAAAACAUCAUGACUGGUAGUGUUUAUGCCACAAUAAAAGGUAAUACGUUUAAAAAAAUGAAGUGACAAAUCUUUACGACUAGGUCCUAUUGAAUAGGGAUUAUUUAUGUCAUUCUAUGAUUAGGCCCAUAAAAAGUACUGUACUGGGAAGAAAUUCAAUCUACUUUCACCCCUGGGUGUUACAUAAAAACCAAAAUGUAUUUGUCAUGCUAUUUCAUUACCAGAUCAUAUUAUGAAUAAGUCCAUUAGGCUAUGUAAUUUGUUGUUAUUAUAUCCAGAAUAAUUAAUAGGAAUAGUGUUGGGUGUUGCACAAUAGUCUAUCCUACACAAUUGUGUCCAGUAAACUGUCCAAUCUGAGGCUAGAAAACGUGAACUCAUUACCUAGUUGACUUUGUUCAUUCAGACAUCUUCUUUCUCGGAUCCGGUACCUCUCGCGGC